AUGCGGGGACAUCCUGUACUGUUAAAUAGAGCACCUACCCUGCAUAGAUUAGGCAUACAUGCCUUUCAACCCACUUUAGUAGAGGGGCGUACUAUUUCUUUACACCCAUUAGUGUGUAAGGGUUUCAAUGCGGACUUUGAUGGAGAUCAAAUGGCUGUUCAUCUACCUUUAUCCUUGGAAGCUCAGGCAGAAGCCCGUUUACUUAUGUUUUCUCAUAUGAAUCUCUUAUCUCCCGCUAUUGGGGAUCCUAUUUACGUACCAACCCAAGACAUGCUUAUCGGGCUUUAUGUAUUAAUGAUUGGAAAGCGUCGAGGUAUUUGUGCAAAUAGAUAUAAUAGUUGCGGAAACUACCCAAAUCUAAAAGUAAAUUACAAUAAUAAUAAUAAUUCUAAAUAUAGGAAAGAUAAAGAACCCCAUUUUUCUAGUUCUUAUGAUGCACUGGGAGCUUAUAGACAAAAACUAAUCAGUUUAGAUAGUCCCUUGUGGCUACGAUGGAACCUGGAUCAAUGCGUCAUUGGGUCAAGAGAAGUUCUGAUUGAAGUUCAAUAUGAAUCUUUGGGGACUUAUCAUGAGAUUUAUGCCCACUAUCUAAUAACGGGAAAUAGAAAAAAAGAAAUUCGUUCGAUAUACAUUCGAACCACUCUUGGUCAUAUUUCUUUUUAUAGAGAAAUAGAGGAAGCCAUACAAGGAUUUAGUCAGGCCUGUUCAUACACUACCUAA
rnacentral:rRNA from 1 species